AGUGAACGCUGGCGGUAGGCCUAACACAUGCAAGUCGAACGGCAGCACAGUAAGAUCUUGCUCUUACGGGUGGCGAGUGGCGGACGGGUGAGGAAUACAUCGGAAUCUACUUUUUCGUGGGGGAUCACGUAGGUAAACUUACGCUAAUACCGCAUACGCCCUUCGGUUGAAAGCAGUGGAUCUUCGCACCUUGCGCGAUUGAAUUAGCCGAUUUCGGAUUAGCUAGUUGGCGGGGUAAAGGCCCACCAAGGCGACGAUCCGUAGCUAAUCUGAGGGGAUAAAGAGCCACACUGGAACUGAGAGACGGUACAGAGUCCUACGGGAGGCAGCAAUGGGGAAUAGUGGACAAAGGGCGCAAGCCUGAUCCAGCCAUGCCGGGUGGAUGAAGAAAGCCUGCGGGUUGUAAAGCCCUUUUGUGGGGAAAGAAAAGCAGCAGGUUAAUACCCCGCUGUUCUGACGGUACCCAAAGAAUAAGCACCGGCUAACUUCGU
rnacentral:rRNA from 1 species